UACGUAGGUGGCGAGCGUUGUCCGGAUUUACUGGGCGUAAAGGGAGCGUAGGCGGACUUUUAAGUGAGAUGUGAAAUACUCGGGCUCAACUUGAGUGCUGCAUUUCAAACUGGAAGUCUAGAGUGCGGGAGAGGAGAAUGGAAUUCCUAGUGUAGCGGUGAAAUGCGUAGAGAUUAGGAAGAACACCAGUGGCGAAGGCGGUUCUCUGGACUGUAACUGACGCUGAGGCUCGAAAGCGUGGGGAGCAAACAGG
rnacentral:rRNA from 1 species